UCGGAGCAGUGGUUCGGAAAUUAAAUUGAGAUGAUGAAAAAUAUUAUUGAACGAAAUAAAAAGAAUCGAUAGCCUCGUUAGUGAAAUCAAUUUUUUCACAGCUCUAAUGACAGCUGAAGUAUUCACAAGUUUUUUGCAAUAAUUGAUUUUGAACAUGGAUAAUUUAGUAACCUAGACGGUGUGAACGGAAGGAGAUUGUUUUCUUCUUAAUUGAUUGACGAGGCAACAGCCGGAAGGAAAGACACGUAACAUAAUUUUAGGGGAAACGCAAGAAGUUAUGCUAAG